ensembl:lincRNA 4933427I22Rik RIKEN cDNA 4933427I22 gene
CAUUUACCGAAAGCAGUCUCCUAUGGUUCAACUUCUCGUUCAUUCUCACCCGGCCUGAAUUCGGCAUCUAUAAAAUGGGGGUGAUCCUGUCUCACAGGGUCAUUGGAAGGAGAGUUUUCUACUGGGUCUCCGGAACAAGCUUCGCUCAACCAAAACAGGCUGCCUUUCACGGUCCUACACAGCCAGGCAUGGAACAGGCAGCCACUGUGUUCCUGAAAUGAGACCAGCAUCUGCCUUUGAUCUGGGGUCUACGCACAGCAUGGACAAUGUGUGAGGACGGACGUGGCCAGGGGUCACCUGUCUCUGCAUCUUGGGCCAUUCAGAGCUCCGGGCCAGGUCAUUGUGAAGAGCUCCACUUCUCUGUAGGCCAUUAUGGUGAAAAGGAGUUUAGCAGACAAGGGCUCAGGACACGCCCCUUCUGUGCCCAGGCAGAGUGUGAUGUCAUCAGCAAAGCCAGCAUGUAUGUUGGGGUCAGAGGACAGGGUGUCAACUCUCACCUCUUCACCUUGUUUGAGACCGUCUCUCUGCCGGUGUGUGUGCUAGGCUACUGAGGAUUGCCCUGUGUCUGAUUCCGGUUCCCCAGUAGGGAUUACAUAUGUCUGCACGGUUGCAUCUACCGUGGGCUUUGGGGGUCUGAACUCCAGCUGUCAGGCUUACAUGUCAAUCACUUUGUCUCCUGAACCAUCUCCCCAGCCCCAUACUCCUCACCCUUGCUUUGAUGGUCAUCAAGCCCUUGGUAGUGGUCACCUGACUCUAAGUCCUAGUCUCUUUGCAGUAGGGUUCUCCCUUCCGUUGAAUGCACUGCGUGGAUUUUCCCUGUUUUCCCGCGGUUGGACUCCAGGGCCUUGUGCAUAAGAGGCAAGCACUCCAACUCCGAGACACUGCCCUCGAUGGCUGGCUCUGAAUCAGAUCGAUAACCAAAUACAGGCAUCCCCAUCUCUAAAAACCUUCUGAGAUUGCAUCGGAGAGAAUGGAAGGCGCCUCCGCCUCCGUAGUUUAAACAGAAGGAGUUUUGCCUAGCAAAGGAGCAUUAGCAGCCCUCAAACCUUCGAGACGGGAGAAGCAGGCUGUGAGCUGAGCCUUAGGGAAAACCUCCAGUCCCCAGAAUCCUUCUGGGUCCCCUCCACCGUUACCAAGGAAACCAACAAAUUGGGAAGCUCCUUAAGCAUACCAAGCCAGUAAAAAGAGAAGCGCGCACCCCAUUUCUCUUCCUAUUUAAACUCUUUCCAAGCCCAGUCCUGUUCGUGUGACUCUGGUUGGGGAAGACUGAAUCGCAUCUGAAAGUCUUCCUUGCAAGAGGGUUAUAGGGAAAUUGGUUUUCUUUUCCUGGCUUCUUGGUAUAAAAAGGCACGCGUGAAGGAGGUUGGAAUAAAUGUUG